rnacentral:snoRNA from 1 species
AACUAUAACAGUCGAUGAGGAUAGGUUAUGUUAUCCGUUGCAGUAAAACUGGAGGGAAGGGACCUUGGUUCUGACCUUUUUGGUUGACUCAUGGGAGACUGUGGGCGCUGUGGACAACGUCACGACCGUUCAUCACCACACACACUUAGUGAUGUAAUAGAAACAAUCUGAGGCUG